rnacentral:rRNA from 1 species
UUCCAGACUCCUACGGGAGGCAGCAGUGAGGAAUAUUGGUCAAUGGCCGAGAGGCUGAACCAGCCAAGUCGCGUGAGGGAUGACGGCCCUACGGAUUGUAAACCUCUUUUGUCGGGGAGCAAAAGACGCCACGUGUGGCGUUCCGAGAGUACCCGCAGAAAAAGCAUCGGCUAACUCCGUGCCAGCAGCCGCGGUAAUACGGAGGAUGCGAGCGUUAUCCGGAUUUAUUGGGUUUAAAGGGUGCGCAGGCGGAGGUGCAAGUCAGUGGUCAAAUUGCGGGGCUCAACCCCGUACUGCCGUUGAAACUGCAUCCCUUGAGUGCGCGAGAAGUAUGCGGAAUGCGUGGUGUAGCGGUGAAAUGCAUAGAUAUCACGCAGAACUCCGAUUGCGAAGGCAGCAUACCGGCGCGCAACUGACGCUCAUGCACGAAAGCGUGGGUAUCGAACAGGAUUAGAUACCCGCGUAC